rnacentral:rRNA from 1 species
UACGGAGGGUGCAAGCGUUGUCCGGAUUUAUUGGGUUUAAAGGGUGCGUAGGCGGCCUUUUAAGUCAGUGGUGAAAGCCCGCGGCUCAACCGCGGAACUGCCAUUGAUACUGGAAGGCUUGAGUACAGACGAGGUGGGCGGAAUUGAUGCUGUAGCGGUGAAAUGCAUAGAUAGCAUCCAGAACCCCGAUUGCGAAGGCAGCUGACUAGGCUGGUACUGACGCUGAGGCACGAAAGCGUGGGGAGCAAACAGG